ACUACCUUGGCAGAAAAGUGCAUUGGAUUUAGAAUCCAAAUAUGUAAGGUAUUACAGGUAGUA
rnacentral:tRNA from 1 species